rnacentral:rRNA from 1 species
AUGGAAGAUUGCCUUGAUGACUUCAUGGCUCGUCUUGACCACGAGGGCGGUGGGCAUACAGGCCUCAAGGGGUUCUUUGACAAGCUAAAGAAGCUCAAACCAAGUCAUGAGAUCGCUGUCGAGAUCGAAAAGCUCAAGGCCCGGGCUAUCGAGGCAAGCAAGAGGCACAAGAGGUAUAAAAAUGACUUCCCAAUACCCAACUCUAUCACCUCUGAAAUUGAUCCCAGGCUGCAUGCACUUUAUGUGGAUGUUGGUAAGAUUGUGGGCAUGGACGAUCCUAAGAAGCAUAUCAUUGAGCGGCUUGAGAAUGAAGAUGUUUCUACACCGCUUCAAGUGGUGUCGAUUGUUGGUACAGGUGGUCUUGGUAAGACUACCCUAGCAAAUGCAGUCUACCAAGCCAUUAAAGGUGAAUUCUCAUGUUCAGCACUUGUGUCGGUUUCUCGAAAGCCUAACAUGAAAAAUGUUCUAAGAGAUAUUUCUGAGAGAGUGGGGAUCUCUCACAGCACUUCCAAUGAUGACGAGCGGCGACUUAUUGAUCGGCUCCGAGACCACCUUCAGAACGAAAAGUACCUUAUCGUGAUCGACGAUAUCUGGAGCACUGAAGCAUGGGAAACCAUAAGGGAUGCCUUACUGAAUAAUGAUCAUGGGAGCGGAAUUAUCACUACAACACAUAAAAUAACAGAGCUUCCAAGUAAAAUUGGAGAUCUGCAGUAUUUAGAAACACUGGACAUCAGAGGUGCCAAAAAUGUAGGACGACUACCGUCAACUAUUACACGGCUUCAACGAUUGACCCGUCUAUAUGUUAACUACAUCAGGUUGUCCGAGCCAUUGGAAAGUUGCACUGAUUUAUCUGAUGGAGUGAUUGGACAGUUGCAGAGCUUGGAAGACCUAGAGAGUGUUCUUGUCUUCCCAUCGCAAAUAAAGAUGUAUCUGCAAGAGCUCGAUCAGUUAACCAAUCUAAGGACAUUGAAUGUAAUUAUGUUGUAUCCACCUCAUUUUUGUCAUGCUGAUGGAUCUGAUGAUGUUGAAAGAUUUGUAGGGACUUUAAUAUCUUCAUACAAUCUUCAUCAUCUACGUGUCGAUUAUAUGUGUGAAUAUGGAACUCUGGGCCUACUGUCCCUGGAAUCAUGGUGCCCUGCUACUCCUUCUGUACUCCGGGAGAUCUCCAUCACUAAUUACCACAUCGACAAGGUUCCGAAUUGGAUGAUCUCCCUUGUGAAUCUUAGGGCGUUAGACAUAUCCUUGUACCGUAUGGGACCAGAAGAUGUCGAGAUCCUUGGAGCUAUGCCCGCUCUGUUUUUCCUUUAG